GAUGCCUGCCCAAUGAUUAAAAACUUAUUCGAAAAAAUAAAAAAUAAAUUAAAUGGCUGCAGUAACCAUAACUGUAAAAAUGUAGCAUAAUCAUUUGCCACUUAAUUAGUGGAUAGAAUGAAUGGCCAAACGAGAAUCCCACUGUCUCAUAAAACCAAAAUAAAAUUAAAAUAAUAGUGAAGAUGCUAUUUAAAAUUGUAAGACGAAAAGACCCUAUAAAGCUUAACUAUAUUCCCUUAUUAAAUAUUUAAAAAUGAUUAUUAAGAGAAAGGUAGUUUCGUUGGGGAGACGGUCUUUUAAAAAUAACAAAGACAAGCUAAAUUAAAACAAUACUAAAAAAUUUACUGUUUAACAAAUAAAUUUUACAGUUACAAAGUAGGCUAUAAUGACCCAUUGAGUUAAAACAAAUCAAUGAAUAAUAAAUAAAAGCUACUUUAGGGAUAACAGGGUAAUUUAAUUUAAGAGCCCUUAUCUAGGAUUAAGUUUACCACCUCGAUGUUGAAUUAAGAUACCCAAGUAGAGCAGA
rnacentral:rRNA from 1 species